rnacentral:rRNA from 1 species
AAUGAACGCUGGCGGCAUGCCUUACACAUGCAAGUCGAACGGCAGCAUGACCUAGCUUGCUAGGUUGAUGGCGAGUGGCGAACGGGUGAGUAAUGCAUCGGAACGUGCCUUUUAGUGGGGGAUAACGUAGCGAAAGUUACGCUAAUACCGCAUAUUCUCUGAGGAGGAAAGCAGGGGACCUUCGGGCCUUGCGCUAGAAGAGCGGCCGAUGUCGGAUUAGCUAGUUGGUGAGGUAAAGGCUCACCAAGGCAACGAUCCGUAGCGGGUCUGAGAGGAUGAUCCGCCACACUGGGACUGAGACACGGCCCAGACUCCUACGGGAGGCAGCAGUGGGGAAUUUUGGACAAUGGGCGCAAGCCUGAUCCAGCCAUGCCGCGUGAGUGAAGAAGGCCUUCGGGUUGUAAAGCUCUUUCGGCUGGGAAGAAAUCGCACCCUCUAAUACAGGGUGUGGAUGACGGUACCAGCAUAAGAAGCACCGGCUAACUACGUG